ACCUGGUGAUGUGGGUAUUUAUGGAGCAAGUCCCUAAAGCGCUCUCAAGUAUCGAAAAAGAGUUCCCCGUCCAUCUAUGAGAAACUUGUGAUGGCUCACCGAAACU